CACCCGGGACACCGGGACAGCCGGGACACCCGAGACACCGUGACACUGGGACACAGGGGACAGCCAGGACAGCCGGGACAGCGGGACACCCGGGACACCAGGACACCGGGACACCCGGGACACCGGAACACCGUGACAGCCGGGACAGCCAGGACAGCAGGAACACCCGGGACACCGGGACAGCCAGAACACCGCUUCCUCCCGGCCUCGGGCAGCCUCAGGGCCACCCGGACGCCGUACGGACUCACGCACGGUUCGGGGAGUUGGUUGUGUUUCGUGGAAGCUGAGUGCUUUGCAACCACGUGCUGCAACGCUUUCUAUAAACUUCCAGCUUUCCUGUCUCAGCAUUCCCAAGAGUGAAAAUCAAGGCAACCUCUUACUUUUAAAUCUUUUCACGGUCGGGGGUACGGAGAUGUUUUCGCACUAUUAGGCACUCAACAAGAAAGAAACUCCCAUCUGUAUACUAGUUUCAGAAAUGGCAAACCUGGAAUUUCAGCAUUCAGCAGCAUAUGUUUUGCUACUGGAUGUGGAAAACACUGACAGUAUAAUUGAUGACUCUGUAGUAUUUACUAGCUAAUCUCAU